UACAGAACAAGUGGCUCCUC
rnacentral:piRNA from 1 species